rnacentral:tRNA from 1 species
ACCUGGGUGGCUCAGUUGGUUGAGCAUCUGACUUCAGCUCAGGUCAUGAUCUCACAGUUUGUGGGUUUCAGCCCUACAUCAGGCU